GAUGAACGCUGGCGGCGUGCCUAAUACAUGCAAGUCGAGCGAACAGACGAGGAGCUUGCUCCUCUGACGUUAGCGGCGGACGGGUGAGUAACACGUGGAUAACCUACCUAUAAGACUGGGAUAACUUCGGGAAACCGGAGCUAAUACCGGAUAAUAUAUUGAACCGCAUGGUUCAAUAGUGAAAGGCGGUUUUGCUGUCACUUAUAGAUGGAUCCGCGCCGCAUUAGCUAGUUGGUAAGGUAACGGCUUACCAAGGCAACGAUGCGUAGCCGACCUGAGAGAGUGAUCGGCCACACGGGAACGGAGACACGGUCCAGACUCCUGCGGGAGGCAGCAGUAGGGAAUCUUCCGCAAUGGGCGAAAGCCUGACGGAGCAACGCCGCGUGAGUGAUGAAGGUCUUCGGAUCGUAAAACUCUGUUAUUAGGGAAGAACAAAUGUGUAAGUAACUAUGCACGUCUUGACGGUACCUAAUCAGAAAGCCACGGCUAACUACGUG
rnacentral:rRNA from 1 species